rnacentral:rRNA from 1 species
GAAUCUUAGACAAUGGGCGAAAGCCUGAUCUAGCCAUGCCGCGUGUGUGAUGAAGGCCUUAGGGUCGUAAAGCUCUUUUACCCGGGAUGAUAAUGACAGUACCGGGAGAAUAAGCUCCGGCUAACUCCGUGCCAGCAGCCGCGGUAAUACGGAGGGAGCUAGCGUUGUUCGGAAUUACUGGGCGUAAAGCGCACGUAGGCGGCUACUCAAGUCGGGGGUGAAAGCCCGGGGCUCAACCCCGGAACUGCCCUCGAAACUAGGUAGCUGGAAUCUUGGAGAGGCGAGUGGAAUUCCGAGUGUAGAGGUGAAAUUCGUAGAUAUUCGGAAGAACACCAGUGGCGAAGGCGACUCGCUGGACAAGUAUUGACGCUGAGGUGCGAAAGCGUGGGGAGCAAACAGG